AGACCCGAAACCCGGUGAUCUAGCCAUGGGCAGGUUGAAGGUUGGGUAACACUAACUGGAGGACCGAACCGACUAAUGUUGAAAAAUUAGCGGAUGACCUGUGGCUGGGGGUGAAAGGCCAAUCAAACCGGGAGAUAGCUGGUUCUCCCCGAAAGCUAUUUAGGUAGCGCCUCGUGAAUUCAUCUCCGGGGGUAGAGCACUGUUUCGGCUAGGGGGCCAUCCCGGCUUACCAACCCGAUGCAAACUGCGAAUACCGGAGAAUGUUAUCACGGGAGACACACGGCGGGUGCUAACGUCCGUCGUGAAGAGGGAAACAACCCAGACCGCCAGCUAAGGUCCCAAAGUCAUGGUUAAGUGGGAAACGAUGUGGGAAGGCCCAGACAGCCAGGAUGUUGGCUUAGAAGCAGCCAUCAUUUAAAGAAAGCGUAAUAGCUCACUGGUCGAGUCGGCCUGCGCGGAAGAUGUAACGGGGCUAAACCAUGCACCGAAGCUGCGGCAGCGACGCUGAUGCGUUGUUGGGUAGGGGAGCGUUCUGUAAGCCUGUGAAGGUGGCCUGUGAGGGUUGCUGGAGGUAUCAGAAGUGCGAAUGCUGACAUAAGUAACGAUAAAGCGGGUGAAAAGCCCGCUCGCCGGAAGACCAAGGGUUCCUGUCCAACGUUAAUCGGGGCAGGGUGAGUCGACCCCUAAGGCGAGGCCGAAAGGCGUAGUCGAUGGGAAACGGGUUAAUAUUCCCGUACUUGGUGUUACUGCGAAGGGGGGACGGAGAAGGCUAUGUUGGCCGGGCGACGGUUGUC
rnacentral:rRNA from 1 species